rnacentral:tRNA from 1 species
GGCGACGUAGCUCAGUUGGUUAGAGCGAACGGUUCAUACCCGUUAGGUCAUCAGUUCAAGUCUGAUCGUCGCUA